rnacentral:rRNA from 1 species
UACGGAGGGGGCCAGCGUUAUUCGGAAUUACUGGGCGUAAAGGGCGCGUAGGCGGCCCGUUAAGUGAGAAGUGAAAGCCCUCGGCUUAACCGAGGAGGUGCUUCUCAUCCUGGCGAGCUAGAGAGUGGGAGAGGGAGACGGAAUUCCCGGUGUAGCGGUGAAAUGCGUAGAGAUCGGGAGGAACACCAGUGGCGAAGGCGGUUUCCUGGACCACAACUGACGCUGAGGCGCGAAAGCGUGGGGAGCAAACAGG